rnacentral:rRNA from 1 species
CAGUCGCCGCGGGAAUACAGAGGGUGCGAGCGUUAAUCGGAUUUACUGGGCGUAAAGCGUGCGUAGGUGGUGGUUUAAGUCCGUUGUGAAAGCCCUGGGCUCAACCUGGGAAUUGCAGUGGAUACUGGGUCACUAGAGUGUGGUAGAGGAUAGUGGAAUUUCCGGUGUAGCAGUGAAAUGCGUAGAGAUCGGAAGGAACAUCUGUGGCGAAGGCGACUAUCUGGGCCAACACUGACACUGAGGCACGAAAGCGUGGGGAGCAAACAGGAUUAGAUACCCCGGUAGUCCCUGUCUCUUAUAC